rnacentral:hammerhead_ribozyme from 1 species
AUCCAGCUGACGAUUCCGAAAUAGAACGAAUAGACGCGUGUCCUGGAU